UUUUCGGACGAUCUGUGAGAGCAAAGCAGACAAGAUGUAGGCAGGGGACUGAUAGUUCUGGUGGCGGAAUCCACCACUGGAAGAUUUCGAACAUAGAAUAGUUGAUGAAUUUAGGAUGAUAGAGUCCGUGCCCAGCGAUUGUGUGAUCUGUUGAUUCUAAACUAAGAUUGUCGGGUGUAUUCCAUUCUGCAACGAUUCAACUGAGCGCCAGUGAAAGAAUUCUACUUCCUGAUGUAAAGAUGAUUGUCGCUUGCAAAACACGGAAAGUCUGAAUUCAUGGUGAAACUCUAGAGGUGAUGAAGAACAACAUAUAAGGAGUGUCCGGCCACACUUUCUGAUUUUAAACGUGCUUUAACAUCUACACUUCGUUCUGCAUGAGGAUCAUAACGAUCAUUUCUCGGCUUCCCUGGAGCAUUAUCAACACCGUUAGGUUUGUGUUGUUGAGAGAACUUCUGCUUCAGAGAACAACCUUUUACAAGGUUCAGUACACGUUAUACUCAAGUGGGCAUCUGCACAUUGUGCUGUCCCCCUGAUGAGCAGCAGCCUGACUACCUGCUUCCCCCAUUCCUCCAGUCUUCUCAGGAGCCUGCCUAAAUGGGGCAAAGAAACAUGGUAACACAGUCUCUUGUGUCACAGAGUAGACUCUACUUAAAAGAUACUGUUACAAACAAAAGCAGUUUUAACCUGAUGAUCAAUUUUAGAAAUUUACAUUUAUUUCAGCCCAGACAAUUCAGAGAUAUCACCUGUGGCACUCUUUGUCACAGACAUCUUUCUGAAGGAAAGAUUUUUCUGGCCAAGAGAGAAAAACUAUGCAAAGCCAAUAUGAAACAUUUUUUAAAAAAUCCUAAGACAGAAUAAUUAGUAUACAUUUAAGAGAUUCUUAUUUGUGAACAUAUCAUUUAUUAGGAACAGAUAUACACAGUAUGGUAUUGACUCCUAGGGCUUUGAUGCUAAGAACUCCCACGCUCUGCCAUCUGUACUUAAGAGACCAUGGGAAGCAGUGUGUAUUUCAGAAGCCUGAGAAAGCAAUGAUAUCGGCUCCAGUACAAGUCUGCAGUCUGAGAGAAUGUGGUGGUUUGAAUGAAAAUGGCUCCCAUAGGCUCAUAAGGAGUGGCACUAUUGGGAGAUGUGGCCUGGUUGGAAGAAGUGUGUCUCUGGGGAUGGGCUUUGAGGUUUCAAGUGCUCAAGCCAGGCUCAGUGUCCCUUGAGGAUCUGCAUGUAGAACUCUUAAAUUAUGUCUUCAGCACCAUGUGUGACUGCAUGCCAUCCUGGUUCCUGCCAUGAUAAUAAUGGGAUAAACCUCUGUACUGCAAGCCAAAGGAAAUGCUUUCCUUCCUAAGAAUUGCCUUGAUCAUGGUGUUUCUUAACAGCAAUAGAAACCCUAAGACAUGGAGUAUUAGGAUCCUGGGAAUAAAAUAGAGGACAAGCACCACGCUCAGUUGCUCAGGAGACAGGAUUCCCACUUCCCUUCCUCUUUGUGCUUCGGGCCCACAUCAUGGUGACUAUAUGCUUGUUACACAGCUCAGAAGCUGGUCUCUUCCACAAAGCCCCUAUAGACAAACUCAGAAAUCACACUUACUAAACUAGCCCUCUGGGCACCCUGAGACCUGGUGGCCAUGGCACAGACAUGUAAGCCUCACACUUGAAGUAAGCUUUGACUCAACUCUCCUUUUCUACAAUCGUCUCCUCUCAUGGCUGAUUUGCUACUAUUUGCCUUGGUACAGCUAAUGAAUUCCAGUUGUAAAAUG
rnacentral:lncRNA from 1 species